ACAACAGAGAUUUCCUGGGUGCAUUCUGGGACAACGCAGCAUGUAAAAGAUUUCUGCAUUCACAGUCAAGUGCCUGAGUCAGAAGCAAAUUCCUCCCUUUAACCAAGAUAGACGAUUAUUUAUGCAUCCACUAAUUAGGACACUCAAAGAGAUGGAGGAGAGUACAUCAUCACUCCUUGCCUUGAGAGUACAAACCCUGUGAAAUCCACAUACAAACCCUCAUGCAUGAAAUCCACUAGUGCAUAUGGUUGAAAUGCUGCAUGCAUAAGAAUGGUGGCAUGAGGAUCUGAACGAGCAUACUAGAUGAAAAAGGACCGAAUCAACUACAACAAGCCUCUUUGCACUUACACACUCCAUCCAGUUGCAAGAAGAUGUUGCUUAGGCUGACCUGCAUUAGAAAUGGAAUUAACAAAUGCCAAAUCCAGAAGUCUGUGAUUGGGGCUCGACAACGAAGAAAAGUGGCAGUGAAACCGCACCCAAAAAGCCUCAAAUUGGAACACCGUCGCCAUU